rnacentral:rRNA from 1 species
UACGUAGGGGGCAAGCGUUGUCCGGAAUCAUUGGGCGUAAAGCGCGCGCAGGCGGUCAUCUACGUCUGGGGUGAAAGCCCGGAGCUCAACUCCGGGAUUGCCUUGGAUACGGGAUGACUUGAGGAUCGGAGAGGCAAGGGGAAUUCCACGUGUAGCGGUGAAAUGCGUAGAGAUGUGGAGGAACACCUGUGGCGAAGGCGCCUUGCUGGCCGAUUUCUGACGCUGAGGCGCGAAAGGCGUGGGGAGCAAACAGG